rnacentral:rRNA from 1 species
UGCAGUCGACGGCAGCACGGGGGCACCCUGGUGGCGAGUGGCGAACGGGUGAGUAACAUAUCGGAACGUGCCCUGGAGUGGGGGAUAACUAGUCGAAAGAUUAGCUAAUACCGCAUACGAUCUACGGAUGAAAGUGGGGGAUCGCAAGACCUCAUGCUCGUGGAGCGGCCGAUAUCUGAUUAGCUAGUUGGUGGGGUAAAGGCCUACCAAGGCAUCGAUCAGUAGCUGGUCUGAGAGGACGACCAGCCACACUGGGACUGAGACACGGCCCAGACUCCUACGGGAGGCAGCAGUGGGGAAUUUUGGACAAUGGGCGCAAGCCUGAUCCAGCAAUGCCGCGUGAGUGAAGAAGGCCUUCGGGUUGUAAAGCUCUUUUGUCAGGGAAGAAACGG